rfam:Azotobacter vinelandii DJ, complete genome.
CGCCUUGUACCUGAAAGGGCGACGGUGUCGAACCGGAGCGAGAAGUCAGCAGAGGCCGUAGUCGCUGCCGAUACGGGGCGAAGGGC